GCUGGGUUUCCCGCCGUGUGUCUCUGCAUUGCCCUGUGUCUCUCCCCAUUCUCGGGCUCUUUCCUCCCCCUCCUGCCCCACUGACCCAUGGGCCUCACCUGGCCCAGUGACUCUGUGACCGCUUCACACUUUUGUCCCCUCACUCCCCUGGGCCCCGUCGGUGCACGAGCCCAACCCUUCCUGCUAUUUUCCUCGUCACUCUUCAGCCCCCUCUCUCAUAUCCUCUGAACCGGUUGACAAUACUCUUCGUGUUCUUUUUAAACUGCAAUUCCUGAACUACAAAUCCUGGCCGGGCGUGGUGGCUCAGUCCUGUAAUCCCAGCACUUCGGGAGGCCAAGGUGGGCGGAUCGCUUCAGGUCAGGAGUUUGAGACCAGCCUGGGCAACAUGGUGAAACCCCGCUCUCUACUAAAAUACAAAAAUUAGCCGGGCAUGAUAACAAGCGCCUGUAAUCCCAGCUACUUGGGAGGCUAACGCACGAGAAUCUUGGGGGGAAAAAACCCCAAAACUGUAAUUCCUGGCUGAGCCUCAUUGCCUGGUGGGAGAGCCUGCUGCUGCUGCUGGCCU
rnacentral:sRNA from 1 species